rnacentral:lncRNA from 1 species
CAGAAUUUCAACGGAGGCAAUUUCUUGGCAUGAUAAAAGAAUAAACUAUAAAAAUCAGUUGAAAAAGGCUUAUCUCAUCAGAUGGGUACGAACAGAAAUACCUCGAACAAAAACACAGAGUGGACAUGGACGGCUACUUAUACAUCACCACAAUGGAUGAUUGAACUUAAAGUACGCAGAUCUGAUAGUACUAGCAGUUACUGAC